rnacentral:misc_RNA from 1 species
UCCCGCUUAUCACGGGCAGUUCCCCUAAAGUGCCCACCAUUACGUGCUGGCAACCAAGGGUGUGGGUUGCGCUCGUUGCCGGACUUAACCGAACAUCUCACGACACGAGCUGACGACAGCCAUGCAGCACCUGUGCACCGGUCCCGAAGGAACUCCAGAUCUCUCUGGAUAGCCGGGCAUGUCAAGGGCUGGUAAGGUUCUGCGCGUUGCUUCG